GGAUUGUGGCUCAGCGGUAGAGCACUCGCCUACCUCAUGUGAGGUCCUGGGUUUGAUCCUCGGCACCA
rnacentral:tRNA from 1 species